rnacentral:rRNA from 1 species
UGGGGAAUUUUGGACAAUGGGCGAAAGCCUGAUCCAGCAAUGCCGCGUGUGUGAAGAAGGCCUUCGGGUUGUAAAGCACUUUUGUCCGGAAAGAAAUCCUUGGCUCUAAUACAGCCGGGGGAUGACGGUACCGGAAGAAUAAGCACCGGCUAACUACGUGCCAGCAGCCGCGGUAAUACGUAGGGUGCAAGCGUUAAUCGGAAUUACUGGGCGUAAAGCGUGCGCAGGCGGUUUGCUAAGACCGAUGUGAAAUCCCCGGGCUCAACCUGGGAACUGCAUUGGUGACUGGCAGGCUAGAGUAUGGCAGAGGGGGGUAGAAUUCCACGUGUAGCAGUGAAAUGCGUAGAGAUGUGGAGGAAUACCGAUGGCGAAGGCAGCCCCCUGGGCCAAUACUGACGCUCAUGCACGAAAGCGUGGGGAGCAAACAGGAUUAGAUACCCUGGUAGUCCACGCCCUAAACGAUGUCAACUAGUUGUUGGGGACUCAUUUCCUUAGUAACGUAGCUAACGCGUGAAGUUGACCGCCUGGGGAGUACGGUCGCAAGAUUAAAACUCAAAGGAAUUGACGGGGUCAUAGCUGUUUCCU